UGGAUGAGGACAGAGAAGAAGAGUAUGAUACGAGUAUGUAUCACUUUGGCGAGCAUGUAGCGCCUUUCAAACAGAGUAAGAGCUUGACUGAAGCUCACAAAAAAACAAGCCUACUGCAGAAGUGGAACAAGAAGCAGGAGAAGAUUAUUUCCAAGUGCUUGAAGACUAUCAAGUCUCUAAAGGCGAUGAUAAGUUGCUCCUCUUCCAGCACAGCUAUGCCA
rnacentral:pre_miRNA from 1 species